GCUCACGUAGCUCAGUUGGUUAGAGCGUUUGUCUUAUGAGCUGAAGGUCGCGGGUUCGAGACCCUCCGAGAGCA